CUCUUGAGCUGGUGAAGUAGAUCACAGGCAGGAAGAGAGGGGAAAAAGAGCCAAACUUCACUUCUCAAUACAGAAACUUAACUAGAGCUAAGAUACUCUUGGAAUUGAAAAUAUCACUGGUAACUCCCAGGAACUCAUCCUGCCUUAGGUCUUGAUCCCUCCUGCCCCAGGGCUUGUUGUUCCAUAAAUCAUCAUGUUUUCUAGGAGUUGGCCCCUGGUUACAGGAGGCAGAGUAAGAGUCCCCCAGAGAUGUGCACAUCCCAUCCCCAGAACUCAUGAAUAUGUGAGCUUACAUAGCAAAAGAGUCUUUGCUGUUGUGAUUAAGUUAUGGAUGUGAGUCAGGGAGAUUUUCCUGAAUUAUCUAAGUGGACUUGAUGUAAUCACAUGCGUCCUUACAAUUGUCAGGGAGAGGUAAAAAGGUCAGAAAUGCAGCAGAACAAACUAGGGUGAUAGAGAAGGAGAUUGGAGCAGAGUCAUUGCUGGGAGCUAAGGGACACAGGCAGCCUCUAGAAGAGCAAAGUCAAGGGACAGACGUACCCCUAGAGCUACAGAGCUGCCAAGGUGCAGCCCUGCCGACACUCUGAUUUUAGCCCCAAAAGCCCUUUUUGUACUUCUGACCUCAAGAACUGUAAGUUACAAUAAUACACUUGUGUUGUUUUAAGCCACCAUGAUUGUGAUCAUUUGUUACAGCAGCCCUAGGGAACGAAUCCACUGGCCUCCCGUCCUUCCUGAGUGUGCACACCCUGUUAGAGCCCCACGGCUUACAGUUCUACCGAAAAUGUUUGCAAAGCUCUGUGACAGAAGGAGCCUGCUGGAUUCAGAAAGAGAUCACACUUUGGAGGAGGAGAGAUGGUGGGACGCUCACAUUGCAUAGUGACUGUACCCCUCAGGCUGGCAAGACACCAAAGGGUGGCUGAAGACACCAGAGUUCUCUGCUUUCCCAAGAUCUGUGCACCCAUAGAAGCUCAGAGAGUUGGGAAGACCACUGCCAGCCUGGAUAGUGAGGGGGUUGGUGACAGCCUUGGGGGAUGAGAAGUUAGGGGCCCUUUCCUUGUCUUCUGGGUACCAUAAAAUUCUCCCAGAUUCUAAAGUGACUCCCAAGAGAGGUAAAUGCUCAACAGUGACAAAGAUGGCAUUUCCACCUAGCUUGGAGGGGAUUACAUUUGGAAACUGAUUUAAACUGAGUUUAAUGAAAAUGAAGAGAUACCAAUUUCUUGUACAUUUGAGUGUGGGGACUAAGACUCAUGAUUACACGUUCUGUGGAGGACCCUGUUGCAGGAGUUGCAGCGUUGGGGUGCUCCAAAAUCUGAGGACCUUUGUAACCUAAUGAGUGCAUCUAAGCCAAGGAGGCCUGGACUGUGAGAAACAGGAGCCUGGUGAGAGAGAGUCAUUUUCAAUGUCCACAGGCUUGUCAUCCCUCCAUCCCUGAGAUUGAUACAAACCUGGCACAUCAGUGCUCAAUAAAUGCUUACUUCGAGGGAUUAGGCA
rnacentral:lncRNA from 1 species